rnacentral:rRNA from 1 species
GAUGAACGCUGGCGGCGUGCCUAAUACAUGCAAGUCGAGCGAACAGAUACGGAUCUUGCUCCUUUGACGUUAGCGGCGGACGGGUGAGUAACACGUGUGUAACCUACCUAUAAGACUGGUAUAACUUCGGGAAACCGGAGCUAAUACCGGAUAAUAUUUCGAACCGCAUUGUUCGAUAGUAAAAUAUGGUUUUUCUAUCACUUAUAGAUGGACCCGCGCCGUAUUAGCUAGUUGGUAAGGUAACGGCUUACCAAGGCGGCGAUACGUAGCCGACCUGAGGGAGGGAUCGGCCACACGAGAACGGAGACACGGUCCAGACUACUGCGGGAGGGAGCAGUAGGGAAUCUUCCGCAAUGGGCGAAAACCUGACGGAGCGACGCGGAGUGAGUGAUGACGGUCUUCGGAUCGUAAAACUCUGUUAUUAGGGAAGAACAUACGUGUAAGUAACUGUGCACGUCUUGACGGUACCUAAUAAGAAAGCCACGGCUAACUACGUG